GGACUUGAAAAUCCGUUGGCUUUAUUGACCGUGAGGGUUCAAGUCCCUCUACCCCCA
rnacentral:tRNA from 3 species